rnacentral:lncRNA from 1 species
CAGGCAAGCAGUGAAUCAGCCUGACAAUGAGUUUUGAACUACAACUCUGGAAUUGUUAGCUCACAACGCAGAGCUGGAAAAGGCCUCAGAAGUCAUCUACCCAACUGUGCCAUUUCACAGAUGGGAAAACUGCGGUCUAGAGGGGUGGCGGCUCGCCCAGAACUGUCUCCAACUGGAAGGAAGGAAAUCUAGUCCAAUCCUCUCAUCCUACAGAAUUCACAGAGUGCCAGAACUGGAAGGGACCUCAGAGAACAGAAGUUCAAGUCCUGUUUCCCAGAUAAGGACACCAAGACCCAGAGGGGAAAUGACUCAGCCAACAACACGCACUGUGCUGGGAGGAGACAUGUGGUUUCUGAGCUCAAGAAGGUUACAGUUUACAGGAAGAGAUGGACACUGAACCAAUAAUACCACAAAUAGAUGGAUAUUUACAAAUUUUUUAAAGAUUUUAUUUUUUUUCCUUUUUCUCCCCAAAGCCCCC